rnacentral:rRNA from 1 species
UGAGGAAUACAUGGAUAACGUACCCUGGACACGGGGAUAGCGGCGGGACUUCGGUUCCUUUGCGAAAGCGCCGGUAAUACCCGAUGACCCCGUAGGAUCGCAUGAUCCAGCGGGCAAAGCUCCGACGGUCCAGGAGCGGUUCAUGUCCUAUCAGCUUGUUGGUGGGGUAACGGCCUACCAAGGCGACGACGGGUAGCGGGCGUGAGAGCGUGAUCCGCCUCAUCGGGACUGAGACACGGCCCGGACACCUACGGGUGGCUGCAGCAACGAAUAUUCCGCAAUGGACGCAAGUCUGACGGAGCGACGCCGCGUGCAGGAAGAAGUCCUUCGGGAUGUAAACUGCUGUCAGGGGUUAGGAAUAAAUGACCAACCCCAAAGGAAGCACUGGCUAACUCCGUGCCAGCAGCCGCGGUAAUACGGAGAGUGCAAGCGUUGUUCGGAAUCACUGGGCUUAAAGCGCGUGCAGGCGGAGUGUCAGGUGUCGUGUGAAGCCCCGAGCUCAACUCGGGUAGGCCACGGCAAACCGGCACCCUUGAGGCAGGUAGAGGUGACUGGAACGACUGGUGGAGCGGUGAAAUGCGUAGAUAUCAGUUGGAACGCCAGAGGCGAAAGCGGGUCGCUGGGCCUGUCCUGACGCUGAGACGCGAAAGCGUGGGUAGCGAAGAGGAUUAGAUACCCUCGUAGUCCACGCCGUAAACGAUGCGCACUAGGUAUGAGAGGCUCUGACGUCGAUCGUGCCGUAGCAAAAGUGAUAAGUGCGCCGCCUGGGGAGUACGGCCGCAAGGNUAAAACUCAAAGGAAUUGACGGGGGCUCACACAAGCGGUGGAGCAUGUGGAUU